rnacentral:rRNA from 1 species
UGGGGGAUAUUGCACAAUGGGGGAAACCCUGAUGCAGCGACGCCGCGUGAAGGAAGAAGGCCUUCGGGUUGUAAACUUCUGUCGUAAGGGACGAUAAUGACGGUACCUUACAAGAAAGCCACGGCUAACUACGUGCCAGCAGCCGCGGUAAAACGUAGGUGGCAAGCGUUGUCCGGAAUUACUGGGUGUAAAGGGAGCGCAGGCGGACUGACAAGUUGGAAGUGAAAUCUAUGGGCUCAACCCAUAAAUUGCUUUCAAAACUGCCAGCCUUGAGUAGUGCAGAGGUAGGCGGAAUUCCCGGUGUAGCGGUGGAAUGCGUAGAUAUCGGGAGGAACCCCAGUGGCGAAGGCGGCCUGCUGGGCACCAACUGACGCUGAGGCUCGAAAGUGUGGGUAGCAAACAGG